rnacentral:rRNA from 1 species
GUUACCGGCCAAAGGGCGUGGGAACCACCCGAUCCCAUUCCGAACUCGGAAGUUAAACCACGCUCCGUCCCCGGUUGUAGUAUGGUCUUCGGCCAUGCGAAGCCGGGGAAGCUGGUAACC